CGGCAGACACACGGCGGGUGCUAACGUCCGUCGUGGAGAGGGAAACAACCCUGACCACCAGCUAAGGUCCCCAAGUUAUGGCUAAGUGGGAAAGGAUGUGAGGAUCCCAAAACAACCAGGAUGUUGGCUUAGAAGCAGCCAUCAUUUAAAGAAAGCGUAACAGCUCACUGGUCUAGAUUUAAGGGUUCUUGCGCCGAAAAUGUACCGGGGCUCAAGCCAUACACCGAAGCUGUGGGUUUGCACUUUGUGCAAGCGGUAGCGGAGCGUUCCCUAGGCUGUUGAAGCGGGACCCGUGAGGGCCCGUGGAGGUAUGGGAAGUGCGAAUGCUGACAUGAGUAACGAUAAAGGGUGUGAGAGACACCCUCGCCGAAAGUCCAAGGGUUCCUGCUUAAAGUUAAUCUGAGCAGGGUUAGCCGGCCCCUAAGGCGAGGCCGAAAGGCGUAGUCGAUGGGAACCACGUUAAUAUUCGUGGGCCUGGUGGUGAGUGACGGAUCCCGUGUGUUGUUCGAUCUUAUCGGAUUGAUCGAGCCUCGAAGGGGUCCCAGGAAAUAGCCCCACCGAUAGACCGUACCCUAAACCGACACAGGUGGACUGGUAGAGUAUACCAAGGCGCUUGAGAGAACUGCGUUGAAGGAACUCGGCAAAUUGCACGCGUAACUUCGGAAGAAGCGUGACCUCCAGUAACGCAAGUUAUUGGUGGUGGCACAGACCAGGGGGUAGCGACUGUUUAUCAAAAACACAGGGCUCUGCGAAGUCGCAAGACGACGUAUAGGGUCUGACGCCUGCCCGGUGCUGGAAGGUUAAGAGGAGGGGUGCAAGCUCUGAAUCGAAGCCCCAGUAAACGGCGGCCGUAACUAUAACGGUCCUAAGGUAGCGAAAUUCCUUGUCGGGUAAGUUCCGACCUGCACGAAUGGCGUAACGACUUCCCCGCUGUCUCCAACGCAGACUCAGUGAAAUUGAAUUCCCCGUGAAGAUGCGGGGUUCCUGCGGUCAGACGGAAAGACCCCGUGCACCUUUACUAUAGCUUUACA
rnacentral:ncRNA from 1 species